GACGAACGCUGGCGGCGUGCUUAACACAUGCAAGUCGAACGAAGUGGCGAACGGGUGAGUAAUGCCUAGGAAUCUGCCUGUUCGUGGGGGAUACCGUCCGGAAACGGGCGCUAAUACCGCAUACUAUCAGAUGAGCCUAGGUCGGAUUAGCUAGUGGGUGGGGUAAAGGCCUACCAAGGCGACGAUCCGUAACGGGUCUGAGAGGAUGAUCGGUCACACUGGAACGGAGACACGGGCCAGACGCCUACGGGAGGCAGCAGUGGGGAAUAUUGCACAAUGGGCGCAAGCCUGAUGCAGCCAUGCCGCGUGUGUGAAGAAGGCCGUCGGGUUGUAAAGCACUGUCAGCGGGGAGGCGUUACCAGAAGAAGAAGCACCGGCUAACUACGUGCCAGCAGCCGCGGUAAUUC
rnacentral:rRNA from 1 species